rnacentral:rRNA from 1 species
UGGGGAAUAUUGCGCAAUGGGCGAAAGCCUGACGCAGCGACGCCGCGUGUGGGAUGAAGGUCUUCGGAUUGUAAACCACUGUCGGGAGGGACGAAGCUCUGACGGUACCUCCAAAGGAAGCACCGGCUAACUCUGUGCCAGCAGCCGCGGUAAUACAGAGGGUGCGAGCGUUGUCCGGAAUCACUGGGCGUAAAGGGCGCGUAGGCGGCUCGGUAAGUAGGGGGUGAAAUCUCACGGCUCAACUGUGAGGCUGCCUUCUAGACUGUCGGGCUUGAGCACAGUAGAGGCUGGUGGAAUUCCCGGUGUAGCGGUGGAAUGCGUAGAGAUCGGGAAGAACAUCUGUGGCGAAGGCGGCCAGCUGGGCUAUUUGCUGACGCUGAUGCGCGACAGCGUGGGGAGCAAACA